rnacentral:rRNA from 1 species
AUCAUGGCUACAGAACGAACGCUGGCGGCAUGCCUAACACAUGCAAGUCGAACGAACUCUUCGGAGUUAGUGGCGCACGGGUGCGUAACGCGUGGGAAUCUGCCCUUGGGUACGGAAUAACUCAGAGAAAUUUGUGCUAAUACCGUAUAAUGACUUCGGUCCAAAGAUUUAUCGCCCAAGGAUGAGCCCGCGUAAGAUUAGCUAGUUGGUGGGGUAAAAGCCUACCAAGGCGACGAUCUUUAGCUGGUCUGAGAGGAUGAUCAGCCACACUGGGACUGAGACACGGCCCAGACUCCUACGGGAGGCAGCAGUGGGAAUAUUGGACAAUGGGCGAAAGCCUGAUCCAGCAAUGCCGCGUGAGUGAUGAAGGCCUUAGGGUUGUAAAGCUCUUUUACCCGGGAUGAUAAUGACAGUACCGGGAGAAUAAGCUCCGGCUAACUCCGUG